rnacentral:misc_RNA from 1 species
AAGUCGUAACAAGGUUUCCGUAGGUGAACCUGCGGAAGGAUCAUUAGAAAUAAUCCGGCAUAGCCGGUAUAAAAUUCUACCCACCUUGUGUGCAAACAAUGGAAAAGAGAGAAAAUUGGAUUCUUUUUUUUUAGCAUCCAACUUCUCUAAAAAUUUUUAUAAACUCCAUCAAAUUUUUAAUUGAAAACAUUUUUUUUUUUAAUAAAAAACAUUAUACAACUUUCAACAACGGAUCUCUUGGCUCUC